UACGUAGGUGGCAAGCGUUGUCCGGAAUUAUUGGGCGUAAAGCGCGCGCAGGUGGUUUCUUAAGUCUGAUGUGAAAGCCCACGGCUCAACCGUGGAGGGUCAUUGGAAACUGGGGAACUUGAGUGCAGGAGAGAAGAGUGGAAUUCCACGUGUAGCGGUGAAAUGCGUAGAUAUCUGGAGGAACACCGGUGGCGAAGGCGCAUCCUGGACCGGCAUUGACGCGUGAGGAGCGGAAAGCCAGGGGAGCAAAACGGG
rnacentral:rRNA from 1 species